GGUCGACAAUUCACAGGAGCCAAAAGGGGUUCUUCUCAUGAACCCUAAACUACAAGGAAUUGCUCAAAUCAAAGGAGAAAUCAAGCUAAAAUUUGGGGCUUUUAAUAAAAUCGUGAUCACCAAGCUUAGGGGAUCACAAGUUUGGCGCUUAACAAGCUAGGUGGAAGCUUGUGAAUGAAGCGGGUCAAACGGAGCAAGAACGGAAAGGAAAAGCAUAGUUCGGAUGUGAGGUUUCAGCAACAUUCCCGCUGGAAAAACUUCUCCCCCGCGCCACGCGACGGAGGAGUGUAUUUCUGUCGCGACACGCGACAGGUGCUCGCGGACCGCGUAAGAAAAGGGGCUCUCGGUCGCGCCCCGUGAGAGACCCAAAAAGCUGCAAAAAAAAUUGUUUUUCUUGUAUAUCCAUGGAUACCGGACGACGUUCAAGCUCAUAGAGGAACCGAACACGAUCAAGAUUCAAGCUUCCGCACAUCGUUUCGUUGUUACUUUUAAACGACGAACUUAAUUACAUUAAGUUGUAAACUUUUAAUUUGUAAACGUUUUAAGUUAACCUUUAUUUUUCAGCAUAUAUGUAAUCAUAUUUGCGUGUU